GAAAUGCGAUAAGUAGUGUGAAUUGCAGAAUUCAGUGAAUCAUCAAAUCUUUGAACGCACAUUGCGCUUCCUGGUAUUCCGGGGAGCAUGCCCGUUUCAGAAUCAUUAAAAUCUCACAAGCCUUAUUGUCAGCUUUCGGGCUCAUUUGGCAGGUGGAUUUGGAUGUUUUGCUUUGUGCAAUCAUCUUAAAUUUAUUGUAUGUGCGCCGUAUUUUUACAUCGGUUAUCUUAAAAGUGCAACAGAUUUAUCUAUUCUCUUUGGGUAAGUGAUGUCAAAACUGGUUGUGGAUACUCUUUACAUUAAAAGAUGUAGAUUGCUUGCAAUCAUGUCUUUGAUAACUUGGUCUGAAAUCGGGCAAGAAAACCCGCUGAACUUAA
rnacentral:misc_RNA from 1 species